CUGGCAAAGCUCUUCGUUUGAGGGCCCACAUCAGGCAAGCCUGUAUCCUGCCGAGUUCCCGGGCCAGACUGUGCCCAUCUUGGCUCUGCAGAUGAACAAAACGGCUGCAGUCGUUGGGACCACUGCUCAGACGCCACAGGUGGCGUUAGACUCGUCGGCUCUCUUCUGAGACCAGGCUAUGAAGACUAGGCUUCCAUGUCAAAGGGACUCUGUCUCUGUGAUCACUCUGCUGGGGGAAGCAAGCUACCACAUGAUGAGCAGCCCCAUGGAGAGGCCCACAUGGCAUGGGGAGGAACGCUGGCCCUGAGACCAACGGCCCGUGAGAAACUGAAGCCUGCCAAAAACCAUACAGUGAACUUGGAAGUGACCCUUCCAACCCAAUUGAAUCUUGAAAUGAUUACAGUCCCGGCUGACACUGUAAAUGCAGCUUUAUGAGAUGCUCUGAGCCAGAGGCACCCAGCUAGGUCCCUUCUGGAUUCCUUACCUACAGGGACCAUGAGAUAACUGCUUGUUGUUUUCAGCCACUACGUUUUGUGGCUUUUUUAUUACACAGCGAUAAAUGAUGCAUAUAAGAUGUUCUGCAACUUCUAAACUGAGGCCUUUCCUCCCUCCUUUUAGAGGCCAGCCUUCAUGCUAGGAGAAGUUCAAGGCAUGUGGAGAAGCAGCAAGGUGCUCAUGUGGACAGUCUCAGCCAAGCACCCACUACCAGCUAGAAGACAGGCUCUAGGCAAGCCACCCCAGCAGCUGCCAGCCAUUCAAGCCACUCCAGCCGAGGCCCUAGACAUCAUGGAACAGAGAUAAGCCAUCUUCUCCAUGCCCUGCUCAAUGUCUGACCUAGAGAAUCACUGAGCAAAUAAAAUGGUUGUUUGAAGCCACUAAAUUUUGGGGUGGUGUGUUCCACCACAAUAAAUAACCCAGACAACCACUAGUUAGUAGGAUUUGCAGUAAGAGGUAACAGACCACACAGGGUAUAGAUCUGGGGCUUCUGACUGGUAUACUAGACAUCAGUGAUUCAUUCACAAAUGGUGGACAAACUGAACAACUGGACGCAUUGGGCGGCACAGGAUGAGGUGCGUAAGGAAACAUUACCCUGUGGCUACAAUCUAAAACCUAAAUCCACCACUUAAUGUCUUGAAAAUGUGAGCCGUUGGUUAGAGUCAACAGUUUAAGCCAGACUGACCAAAGAAAUCCCCUGUGUAUGUCUUGCUGGAAUUAGAAAUGUCCAAACUAAAAAGGCUCUAUAAUAUCAGUAUCUUGGUUGUUGCUAAAAAAAGGGAGCAUCAGUAUUUUCCAGCAUUAUUUAGUUACCUGCUCACCCAAAUGGGAAGAAUCUGCCAAAGCCCUGCCUCUAACAGAUCUAAAAGAGAAAAGCUUUAUCAAAUUGAAUGGGUUAUAGCAAUGUCAAACAUUUAGAGAAAAGCACAGUACUAAUCACAUGAAUGUUACACUGGUAAGGAGUUAACACUGCAACAAACUAUAAAAGAGCCUUUGUGAUAGACAGCAGAUGGUGAGCAAUGCAGGCUAGACCACUUUGGAAAAGGAGUCCUUGCUCAGAAAAAAGCCUGUGAAGCAUGUAACUUUACAAUAAAGGCGGUCCUUUAUAUUAAAGCUCCCAGACCUCUCGGGCAUAUUAUUAGGAACCACAUAAUAUAACUCUAUUCCUCUACCCAAGCAGAAGUAUACAGCUAUCAUUCCCAAUACCCAUAAACAAAAGGGAACAAGAAUGGGGAGAAGAAGUCUACAAACGUAGGUGUGUCAACUAAAUUAGCAAGGCUAUCCUCCGAGACUUUAACCCGCACGUUUCGGAGACACAGGAAGACUUGACAGCAUGGAUGUGGGAAGAGCAACAGCACUUGCCAAAUGCAAAUCCUGUUCCUCCAGUGCCAGCAUAUCUACUGGUAUCACUAGCUUCUGCCUAGGAAACGUCACCAAAAAUUCACUUGCCCACAAGAUCCAAACAGUGGAAACUGACUAAUGGCCUAUUUGGGAAUGUCUGAAAAACAUGCAUUAAUUAAUAUAGUCAUGUGAUGCCAAGUGAGAGAUGGGUCCAAUGCACUUGAUAUGCAAUGUACUAUAUAACUGGUACCUGAUUCAUCUAUAAAUGAAUAAACAUCAAGUCAGGGAAUAAAGAGUCCUGAAGUGAGCUAUGUAUCAAUGCCUCCACAGCAAUACAGACACCACUUAGCACACAUUUAGCUAAUUUGAUACCAAGCUAAGUAGUAUUCUAUGUCAUCAGUGCUAGUCUGAUUAAUAAAGAUGAAAUUAAUAAAGUUCUUGUUGUAAAGCAA